GAUGAACGCUGGCGGCGUGCCUAAUACAUGCAAGUCGAGCGAACAGACGAGGAGCUUGCUCCUCUGACGUUAGCGGCGGACGGGAGAGUAACACGUGGAUAACCUACCUAUAAGACUGGGAUAACUUCGGGAAACCGGAGCUAAUACCGGAUAAUAUAUUGAAGCGCAUGGGUCAAUAGUGAAAGACGGUGGUGGGGGCACUUAUAGAUGGAUCCGCGCCGGAUUAGCUAGUUGGUAAGGAAACGGGUUACCAAGGCAACGAUGCGUAUCCCACCUGAGAGGGUGAUCGGCCACACUGGAACUGAGCCACGCUCCAUACUCCUAAGGGACGCAGCAGUAGGGAAUCUUCCGCAAUGGGCGAAAGCUUGGCGGAGCGACGCCGCGUGUGUGGUGGCGGUCUUCGGAUCGUAAUACUCUGUUAUUAGUGAAGAACCAAUGUGUAAGUAACUAUGCCCGUCUUGACGGUACCUGAUCAGAAAGCCACGGCUAACUACGUG
rnacentral:rRNA from 1 species